UUGUUCAACAAAAAACACCUUCUGCCUGCGACCAACAGUGCAAAAGUAUGCACAAUGAGUAGGUUUGAUGUGUGGCCGAAGAAAAACAAACAAAAAAACCGGAUAAGAGUAAUUCGAACGGAAAGACCUACCCGGUGAUAACAUCCAGCCGAUACUACGUUAAAAGCCAACAUUUCCCGAGUAGGGCAUUUCGAAUUUCCAACU